GGACAGUGAAGGACGGGGUAUACCACCCCCACCCACCAGCCGGCGACCAAGAGCAUCCCUUUCGCCUCCCCAAUCAGGGUGAUUGGUGGACACCUGGCCGGUGGCAGAGGAGCCAUCUUAAAGGGAGGUCGAGGACAGACAGCAGAACGGCACGGGAGCAAGGAGGAAGCGCUCGUGUCCGCGAGAGGCUAGAGACCGCGAAUACUUUGUUUGAUUAAGUUGACUGUUAAAUAAAUGCCUUUAAUGGCCUAUCCCUCACACAAACGUGUCCUUUGUACCUGGAACCCGGCAACAACAAGGACCGGGUUACCACAACAUUCACAAAAAGAGACAGAAUAGUGGCACAUCAGACAAAGACAUUGAAACCGAUCAAGAUGCUUCAAGCCUGCGUUUGGCUAGCGUUCAUAGGGACGUUGGCGACCCGUACCUGCUCUGCGCAGCGGCCCGAUCUGGGAGCCAGUGAUGCCGCCGUAGUCCUUGUCUAUGAGGAUCCGGAUGACCAGGCCCCUGGAGUGGAGGGCCAGGACCGCUCUGCUGAGGUCCAUGUUGGAGAAGGCAAACACACAGAUGUCCAGGGUGGAUUUGGCCGAGAGGACGUGGCGGAGAAGGCGGGCCAAAGACGUCUCUAAGCCAUGUGGUAACGGACAGAGACACUGCCUGGAGAGGAGCAGGAAAGAGAAGGUCAGACUCGAAACGGCAAACCAAGGAUCAAGUUCCCUAUGCUGGCACUACCACUGCACCAUGUAAAUCUCCACGGGCAGAUGGGACUAUAUUUGGAGAAGCCUCAGUCUUCCAUACAUGGAGGAAAAGGUGCGCUUGGUAGGUUUUGUAAAAUGUAAUGUGUAUGCCUCAUAAACAGGUUUACUGGAAGUAAAUAUAUUAAAAUCUUCACCAACCAUGUUUCUAAAUGAACAGUGGCAAAAUCCAGCGACAAAACAGACUUUAGAUGUAGUGAUGUCGGUACCUCUUAUGACCUAGCCAGGACUGCCAAUACUGGAGCGAAUCUGCGGUAUAGAUAGCCGAACUUCAAACAAAUGCAUCCACCGUUGAAAUUGGUUGCGUAAACUAUGGAAUCUCUUCUUUUGGCCAUCUUACUGUACGUUCACACCAAAGCUAUAAAGCGUUUUGAGCGAUAAACGCCCAUUCACUUUCUAUUAUGCGCGAUAAAGUGAUAGGAGCGAACAACGCUUAAGCGAUAGCUUUAAAGCUGUAAGGCUGUAAAUGAGAGUUGAAAACAGCUCAACCUUAUGCAAAUGAGCUAGUAGGGUUUCGGCUGUAAAUGACCGCCAGCCAAUCGGAAUGUAGAUGUCUCUCGCCGGCGUGGGUCCCAGUAAACAUACGCGC